GAUAGCCUAAUCCGGCAACAUGCCAUGAUGGAUCAAUAGGAUGCACAUGACCCUCGAAAGCUAUCAAGGAAGGUGGAAGGACUCCUGGAUGCCAUAAUGCCAACCCAGAUUUGAGGCUCUGUGAUAUGAGGUCAUUAAUCACCCAAGGACAGUAGAAGCAAGUACAAACCACCACUUCUAACCAUAAAUAAAUAAAUAAAAUAAAAAUAAAAAAGCAAGAUUCUCCCAUAUUACUUGCUUUAAAAGAAUGGUUUUAUUUUCUAAGAAAAACACAAAACAAAAUUUUUUUCAGGAGGAAAUACAUGAUGCCAAAAAAUCAUUAGCUAUAUCCAUCUCGAGGACAAUAUGCAAAUCACUCUGACAACAGUUUCUCGUUACCAUCUUGUGAAAGUGUGAGGGAAUGUACAAUUUUUCUACAAAUGUGAGGGAAUAUACUUACAAGCUCUAGCCAUUGAUGGUAAGUUACAGUAAUGUUGGUCCUUCUCCAAGCUUCUAUAUCAAAUACAUUCAGGCCAUACAGCCAUGCACAACGAUCAUGAUCAAAGUUGGAUGAUAUAAUUGGAUGAGAGAAGUUCAAAUAGUCCCUGUAUUUUCUUCCUGGGCAGCAGCCAUCUCCACACCAUGAAUUAACAACUGCACCAACAACUUUUCCUUUGAGAUCCAACUCCAACAGAGAUGCUAUGUCGUGUUGCACAACAAUAUCAUCAUCCAAGAAUAGUAUCUUGUUGAGAUCUGGAAAUAGCUGUGGCCCAUGAAAAUCACAUGAUAAGUCAAUUGUCAAGUGCGAAAAUCUGACGUGUCAUUUACUCAGAAAAGAUUCAGUGAAAAUAUUGGGUGACUACCUCGGGGAUAUAAAUUCGGAGAUGAUUCAAGAGGGAGAGGGAGCUAGGGCUUAAUGCCUCUAGAUAUCUUUUGUGUCCUUUAUAUUCAAAAUCUUCUUCAUUCAAAUUAUUGUAGUUGUGCUUCCAAAUUAGGCGAUGAAUCUCUAGCAUCUGUUUAACCCCAACAUUCACUUCCUGAGACCAGUCAUAUUGGUGCAAUCCCUUAACUUCAACCACAGCAGAUUUAAGAGAAUUGAUUGCAAACCAUGCAUGCAUUGGGGUGUAUGUUUUUUUGUCAGUUACUAUGUGGAACACUAAUUUUCCAGGGUUGGCUGAAUUUUGGAUCGUAGAAGAGACAACAACAGACGCUGCAAGGACAUUAUCAGUUAGGAGAACGAGGUGGUGAAAUGAGGGGUCAGAAAGGCGAGAAACAUAUUCUGGUGGAGGUAGAAGAGAUCGAGCCAUUGAAUUUACAGCAUAUUCUUCAGCAAGUUUUAGGCAAAGACAAUGUAAGCUCUUGGGAACACCAUGUGACGCUAAAUGCCAGAAAAUAGACUCGCGCUGUCUUGCUGACUUGACCCUAUGCUCCAUCCUUAGCAGCUGCAUAUCAAGACAAGAAAUGUAGAUUUAGGCUUAAUCAUCAUAUUAUGAUGAUCAUAUGUCUUGCUUUCAUUCAAUCUCAUACUUCAAAGUACUAAUGCAAAUAUCCACAUUGAUCUGACAUGUUCAA